rnacentral:misc_RNA from 1 species
GAUGAAGAACGUAGCGAAAUGCGAUACGUAAUGUGAAUUGCAGAAUUCAGUGAAUCAUCGAGUCUUUGAACGCACAUUGCGCCCCCUGGUAUUCCGGGGGGCAUGCCUGUCCGAGCGUCAUUGCUGCCCUCAAGCACGGCUUGUGUGUUGGGCCUCCGCCCCCCGGCUCCCGGGGGGCGGGCCCGAAAGGCAGCGGCGGCACCGCGUCCGGUCCUCGAGCGUAUGGGGCUUCGUCACCCGCUCCGUAGGCCCGGCCGGCGCCCGCCGGCGACCCCCCUCAAUCUUUCCAGGUUGACCUCGGAUCAGGUAGGGAUACCCGCUGAAUUUAAGCAUAUCAAUAAGCGGAGGA